rnacentral:rRNA from 1 species
AUGCACGGCGCCGGCCCUGCCGCCGACGGGAGGAGCAGGGCUUCACCGGACAAGGCCGCCGAGAGUACCAAGAAGGCGCGGCUGGACCUGCCUGACGGCCACGUGAAGGAACACAUGGCCAGAGGAGGAGAUGGAUGCGCUAUCGUCGCGACGUACGGCCCGAGAGAGGAGCUCGCCGUGAGGAUCGACAAGCGCCUGCUCCACUGCCUCCUCUGUACCGUCCCCUUAAAGCCCCCCGUCUUCCAGUGCAAAGCGGGGCACCUGGCAUGUGGCGGCUGCGUGGCCAAGCUGCCCUUCGGGCAGUGCAAGGCAUGCGUGGACAGCGGCGGCUUCUUCGACCCCUGCCCCGCGCUGGACGCCAUCGUGUCCUCCACCAGGAUCGUGUGCCCCAACGCCGGAUGCCAGAGGUACAUGACCUACCACGAGGUCGCCGAGCACCAGACUGCGUGCCUGCACACGCCCUGCCGUUGCACAGAGCCGGGCUGCGGCUACAUCAGCGCGCCGCAGGCGCUCGCCGGGCAUCUCCACACCGUCCACUUGGUGCCGAUGCGCCCCGUGCAGUACGGCAAGGUCGUCCAGCUUCAGCUGCCGGUGUUGACCCCGCGGGUGGUGCUCCUCGGCGUCGACAAUCACGUUUUCCUCUUGAUUUUGGGCGCGCUCGGCGCCGGCGUGACUGCCGUGUCCAUGGUGUGCGCUAGGGCGAGGGCGGUGACAUGCCCGCGGUUCAUGUGCAAGAUGUGGGUCAACCUGGAGCCACCCUCGGCGGCGGCGGCGAACGGCGGCAGGGCUGACUUUGUCCUGGUGGAGAUGCACAUGAGGAGCAGCUCGUCGCCCGGUGUGGUGGUCGUCGCGGACGAGCCCACGUUCCUAUCGGUGCCGCGGAUGUACCUGGUUCCAGCAGCAGGGAUUGGGGGUGAUGGGGCUGCGUCCUUGCAAGUUCCCCUGCACAUCCGCAUCGACAAGCUCUCCCCUUGGUCCGAUCAGAUCCGCAUCUGA